AACGAACGCUGGCGGCAUGCCUAACACAUGCAAGUCGAACGAGACCUUCGGGUCUAGUGGCGCACGGGUGCGUAACGCGUGGGAACCUGCCCUUAGGUUCGGAAUAACUCCUCGAAAGGGGUGCUAAUACCGGAUAAUGUCUUCGGACCAAAGAUUUAUCGCCCUUGGAUGGGCCCGCGUUCGAUUAGCUAGUUGGUAGGGUAAAAGCCUACCAAGGCGACGAUCCAUAGCUGGUCUGAGAGGAUGAUCAGCCACACGGGGACUGAGACACCGCCCAGACUCCUACGGGAUGCAGCAGUGGGUAAUAUUGGACUAUGGGCGAAAGCCUGAGCCAGCAAGGCCGCGAGAGUGAUGAAGGCCUUAGGGGUGUAAAGCUCUUUUACCCGGGAUGAUAAUGACAGUACCGGGAGAAUAAGCACCGGCUAACUCCGUG
rnacentral:rRNA from 1 species